AGCGAACGCUGGCGGCAGGCUUAACACAUGCAAGUCGAGCGCCCCGCAAGGGGAGCGGCAGACGGGUGAGUAACGCGUGGGAAUCUACCCAUCUCUACGGAAUAACGCAUGGAAACGUGUGCUAAUACCGUAUACGUCCUUCGGGAGAAAGAUUUAUCGGAGAUGGAUGAGCCCGCGUUGGAUUAGCUAGUUGGUGGGGUAAAGGCCUACCAAGGCGACGAUCCAUAGCUGGUCUGAGAGGAUGAUCAGCCACACUGGGACUGAGACACGGCCCAGACUGCUACGGGAGGCAGCAGUGGGGAAUAUUGGACAAUGGGCGCAAGCCUGAUCGAGCCAUGCCGCGUGAGUGAUGAAGGCCCUAGGGUUGUAAAGCUCUUUCACCGGUGAAGAUAAUGACGGUAACCGGAGAAGAAGCCCCGGCUAACUUCGUGCCAGCCGCCGCCGUAAAAC
rnacentral:rRNA from 1 species